CAGGCUUCACUAGCAGGGCCCCAUUUGCCCCUUAGCGAUCCUGCGGGGAGACACCAGGACAGGUGUGGAGAGUGAGGGUGGUCAGAAGUCACAGGGUGUGGCAGGCAGGGCCAGAGCCACAGCCAUGGUGCUUCUGAGUAGAGAAAUGGCCUCUACCGCAACCUCCUCCCAGAGCAAAUUUCAGAUUCACUCCUCACUCCAGAAGCCCCAAACCGGGGAUUCCUGUUGGACUGGAUGUGCUGAAGCCCCUUUCCAAGCCCUGUGUGGCCUUUUUUGUGUGGGUUCCCUGCAGGGGACUUUUGUUGUUGUUGUUUUGUUUUGUUUUGUGUGUUUGUUCUCCCCCUGCCUUGGGUCUUUACUGACAAAAAACAAAACAAAAAAACCCCACAACACAACAACAACAAACAAAACAAAACAAAAAAAACCAA
rnacentral:lncRNA from 1 species